rnacentral:rRNA from 1 species
GAUGAACGCUGGCGGCGUGCCUAAUACAUGCAAGUCGAGCGAACAGACGAGGAGCUUGCUCCUCUGACGUUAGCGGCGGACGGGUGAGUAACACGUGGAUAACCUACCUAUAAGACUGGGAUAACUUCGGGAAACCGGAGCUAAUACCGGAUAAUAUAUUGAACCGCAUGGUUCAAUAGUGAAAAACGGUUUUGCUGUCACUUAUAGAUGGAUCCGCGCCGCAUUAGCUAGUUGGUAAGGUAACGGCUUACCAAGGCGACGAUGCGUAGCCGACCUGAGAGGGUGAUCGGCCACACUGGAACUGAGACACGGUCCAUACUCCUACGGGAGGCAGCAGUAGGGAAUCUUCCGCAAUGGGCGAAAGCCUGACGGAGCAACGCCGCGUGAGUGAUGAAGGUCUUCGGAUCGUAAAACUCUGUUAUUAGGGAAGAACAAAUGUGUAAGUAACUAUGCACGUCUUGACGGUACCUAAUCAGAAAGCCACGGCUAACUACGUG